UUCCGGUUGAUCCUGCCGGACCCGACUGCUAUCAGAAUAGGACUAAGCCAUGCGAGUCAACGUAGCAAUACGUGGCAUACGGCUCAGUAACACGUAGUCAACAUGCCCAGGGGACGUGGAUAACCUCGGGAAACUGAGGAUAAACCGCGAUAGGCCAUAAUGUCUGGAGUGAUUUAUGGCUCAAAUCUAUAUGGCCCCUGGAUUGGACUGCGGCCGAUCAGGCUGUUGGUGAGGUAAUGGCCCACCAAACCUAAAACCGGUACGGGCUCUGAGAGGAGAAGCCCGGAGAUGGGCACUGAGACAAGGGCCCAGGCCCUAUGGGGCGCAGCAGGCGCGAAACCUCUGCAAUAAGCGAAAGCUUGACAGGGUUAUUCUGAGUGAUUUCCGCUAAGGAAGUCUUUUGGCACCUCUAAAAAUGGUGCAGAAUAAGGGGUGGGCAAGCCUGGUGUCAGCCGCCGCGGUAAUACCAGCACCUCGAGUGGUCGGGACGAUUAUUGGGCCUAAGCAUCCGUAGCCGGUUCUA
rnacentral:rRNA from 1 species